AACGCACGAGACCUGCGGACCUGCGGAAGGAUCAUUACAAAAGAUUGGUAUGCCUCGCGCAUGUCCGCUCUUUAAACCCACACCUGAGUACCUUUCCUGUUGCUUCCGCGGAGCGGCUGCCCUCCCCCUCACAGGGAGAGCGCGCCGCCGAUGCGGGGUGAAACACCCCCUCAUCGGAGAGUCUCCGCGGGAGGUACACACAAAACCCUUUUGCAUUGCCAUGUCGUCUGUCUGAUACUG
rnacentral:misc_RNA from 1 species